AUUGAACGCUGGCGGCAUGCCUUACACAUGCAAGUCGAACGGCAGCACGGGGCAACCUGGUGGCGAGUGGCGAACGGGUGAGUAAUGCAUCGGAGCGUACCUUUCAGUGGGGGAUAACGUAGCGAAAGUUACGCUAAUACCGCAUAUUCUGUGAGCAGGAAAGCAGGGGAUCGCAAGACCUUGCGCUGAUUGAGCGGCCGAUGUCAGAUUAGCUAGUUGGUGAGGUAAAGGCUCACCAAGGCGACGAUCUGUAGCGGGUCUGAGAGGAUGAUCCGCGAGACUGAAGCUGAGACACGUUCCAGACUCCUACGGGAGGCCGCAGUGGGGAAUUUUGGACAAUGGGGGCAACCCGGAUCCAGCCAUGGCGCGUGAGUGAAGAAGGCCUUCGGUUGUAAAGCUCUUUCGGCCGAGAAGAAAUCGCACGGGCUAAUACCCUGUGUGGAUGACGGUACCGGAAUCAGAAGCACCGGCUAACUACGUGCCAGCCGCCGCCGUAACAC
rnacentral:rRNA from 1 species